CGAUUUCAAGCUUCCGAACCCCAAAAACGUGAAUUAUUUUGGUGACUCCGAUUUAAUACCCGAGUUUGACGAAAUCGGUAUGCUUCACCACCGCACAGCGUAUUUCUGCCCUGCGUUAUCGGUCACGUUUUAGAACCUGGGGUACAACUACAUUAAAUAAAAUAUCUGAAGAACAAACUACAAUUUCUAUAUUUGUCUACUUGAUAGCUUAUUCUAGGUAAUAAAGUAUUUUUUUUAGUUAGGGUUGCAUUCUAUUACUAAUAAUUUAAAACUGAUUUAUGAAUGAAUGGAGGAAUAUUGUAGGGUCUCUAAGUCAAGUAACGAAUUAGAAAAUGUAUCAAUACGAGGGUAGUGUUGUAGAUGAGAUUAUUGUCUCCCUAACUCGUCCGAAGUCGUCAUGAUUGAAAAGACGCAGAAAGUACAUCGAAUGUCAUGCUCUUGGUAUGAAAUCAUUUCCCUUUUCUGAAAAGAACGUCAAGUACUAUUAGGGGGAAGAUGGCGAGGGAGAUGUUUGAAUAUAAUCUUUGCUACUAUAAGGACGGAGAUGUUGCAGACUACAGCAACUUGGAUAUGUACGUAGGCUAGUGAUGUGUAAUCUUCUCUCCUUUUGGUGCUUACUUUUGUUAGAACUCUUGGAUGUGUAGUUUGUAACCUCUUUUGUCCUCUUUUGUAACCUUGUAGUACGUUAACAAGGUAGGAUAUGAGUAACUUUUUUUGAAACCUAUCCUCCUACCAACUAGUUCGGUAGUGCAUCUAACAAGGAACUUGUUCUAUUGUUCAUAACAGAAAGUGUAUAAGUGAAAAGACGAUAGAAAUAAGUCAUAAAACAAGUACAUAAGUCAAAAGACAAUAGAAAUAAGUCAUAACACAAAUACAUAAGUGGAAAGACAAUAGAUGGUAAUAAGUCAUAACACAAUACAUAACAAAGCAAAUAGAAAGAUACGUGGAAGAGUUCUAGACGACUUUAUAACGACCUUCAGACGACUCACAUAAGAUUUGUUUCCAGAAGACUUGAUGAAGACCUUAUGACGACUCGUACACGACUUUCAGGAAGACUUACUUCUCAGAAGACUUUCACCUUGACUAUAAUUUUUUUCCAAACGUAUGUAAUUAUAUAAAUUUAUAAUCUGAAAUAAUCAAAUAGAUAAACCCCUUAAAAUAUAUAUUUUUAAUUUCUACAGUUUUCAUACAAAAUUCUCUUAUAAUUUAUUUAGUUAUACUAUAGAAUAGAUAUUUGUGUAGGAUAAUUUAUAUUUUCUUGUUGUGUUUAAAAAUAUACUUUAGCAUGUAUAUUUUUAGUACAUAUCUGGAUUUUGUAAGUAAUUAUUUUAUUAAAUUUUAUACAUGGUUUACGAAUUUAAAUAUCUUUUGAUGGUGAAUGAUAUUUUAAAUGAUUUUUUUUCAAAAAUAAAUAAGUUAAUUUAUUAAUUUAAUAUAAUUUUUCUAUUUAGUUCAUAUAGUACUUCUAUUUAGUUCAUAUAGUUUAGUUCAUGUAUAAUUGUUGAUUCGGGUUACAACAAAGAGACCGUUUUCGCAAGUAUAAAAACGCUCUUUACAAAGUCGUCUGAAGUCAUCAUGAAGUCUUCUCAUGUUUGUACUUGUAACAUACCAAUCAUGUUUCUGUGUUGUCAUACUGGAUAUAACCAGUAUUAGAUUGUUAAAACCACUUCGGAAAGCAAAGUAUCUAAAACAUUAGAACUUAAACAUCAGAACCAAGUCAGGAAAGUAGAAGCGGAAACAUGGGAAUACAAAAUGAAAGAAAUGGGCGUUGACAAUCCUGAAUCAUUUACUUAUAUGCGGCCGCCGUGAAAAAGUCUGGUCUCAUUAAUAUGCAUCCUCGUGAAGAUAUCCCUAGAUUUCGUGUGCUAGGUGCAACUGGCUGCUUCUGAUGAAGCUGUAACUCACCGUGUAGCUGUGACUCCAACACAUUAUCCACUAUCCCAUUCCGCUGUUUCCUCUUCCUAUUCCUCACAUAGGCCUGCACUGGCUUCUGAUGAAGCUGUAACUCACAGUGUAGCUCUUCUUCCUCGUUCGUUCCCGUCGGUUCCCGUAGAGGCUGUGUCUCAUCACGAGGCUGAAAAGAGGAACUUUGAGGCUGAAUAGGGGAAUAUUGAGUCUGUGACCGUAGCUCACCGUGUAGCUGUAACUCCCGCUCUUCUUCCUCGUUCAUUCCCGUCGGUUCACAUCUGUUCCCGUCCAUUCUCGUCUGUUCCUCUAUUCCGUUUUGAUGAAAAGAGGAAUCUUGUUGCUCAUUACCAGGCUGAAAAGAGGAAUUUUGAGGCUGUGGCUCAUCUUCCUCUUCUUCGUUUUGAUGAAAAGAGGAAUGUUGAGGCUGUGUCUCAUUAUCAGGCUGAAAAGGGGAGGAAUAUUGACCCUGUGGAUCAUCACGAGGCUGUCCUUUCAAAGCUUCCAAUUGUGCUCUUAAGUCAAAAAUUGCUUUGUCUUGUUGAUCGGAUUUCUUCUUCAAUAACUCCACUUCUCUUUGAAUUAUCUCAUCUUCUCCCACCUCCAGGUUUGUCUCUAAAUUAUCCUCAUUUCUUUCUCUUGUGUUCUCUUUGACUUCAACAACCCGGUUGGAUUGAUCUUUUUUUGUAGAGAUGAUCCCAGCAAAUUUUCUUUUGUUCCAUCAAAACAAGUUUCCAGUUGUUGAUGGUGGAAUAAUCUGUUUCGGGUUCUUGAACUUAUGCCACCAGAUGAUGCUCAUCAAUCGUAGGUAUCAAAAUAGACUCGAUGUUUGUAAAAAUAAAAAGCAAUAAGUCUUUCGUACGUCUUUCUUAAGUCUUUAAUGAGUUUUUCUGCCUCAUCCGCUUAUCAGUUGUACCAUCAUACCAAAAUCAAAUCAGCAUAUUAUACAACAUAUUAUGCAUUUCAAACUAAGAAACCAGCAUACCAAAAUCAAACUAACCUUAUCAGUUCCUAAUGAUCUCUAUACGCCAUUCAGUGAAAAGCUUUUUUCGCCUGUUUUGCGAAAUUCCAUCUUACACAUCCGUGGACAUGUAUUCACUGCUCCUCGUACAGGCAAUCGAUAUUUGCUCUUGAGGUUUGCAAUACAUUCAAAAGGAAAUAUCUGCAGAGUUCAAAAAUAAGUCAGUGAAUUCAAAGUCUUUGAUUCAGAAAGAAAGUACAACGCAGAAAGAAACCUCAAAGUCAGAAAGAAACCUCUUAGGGAGUAAUGAAGCAGGGUAAAUUCCAACUAUUCAAGGAAGGCUUGGAACGCUCUUUCAUCUUGUCUGCCAGGAUAUAUAAGCAGUACUUAAAUGACAGAGUGCCCCACGGAAAGGUCUGACACAGAUCUAAAUGGUUCACUAACUUAAGGAAGAAUGGGUCUAAAAGACAUUUUCCUUUAUUCUUCCUUCUUAUAAUGAUAGAUCCUAUGAAGUAUAACAAUGUCAUUUUCACAAGAUCUUCAUUAUCCUCAGCCAUUGACAAGAAUUUUUCUUCAACGUCUAACCGAUCAACCUUAUCUAUGUCUAAAAAGUUCCUAUGAGCGAAACUGAGACUUAAACUAUGCUUCUCUGCAAAGCUUUUCUUUGACGGGAGUUCAUCGCAGCACAAUCUCGUUAACAAGACAUGUUCCCUAAUGGAAUAUCUAACUGGGAUGCCAUUAACAACAGGUCACCACUGAUUAUCCUUGAUGUAAGCAGUUCUAAUAGCUAAAGCCCACAGUCCCAUGAGUUUAUGAGAGCUGUAUCUAGGCAUAUGAAAAACAUACUUAAAUUGUGGGUGAUGGUGAAACCAAGCAAUCUUAUCAUCCUUCAGCUUUGUCUCUAUUACAUCAAGUGUUUCCUUAACCCGGCACGACGUUCCCAUUCUACACAUCUGCCUAUAACAGGACGGAUCAAAUAACAUUUCUGGCGGAGGAACAGGCUCUGUACCUAUCGAACCCCUAGCAUAUCAACAUUCCAAAAUUUCAACCCAAAUCCACAACCCAAAUACAAACACAAAUCCACUAUUCAAUUGAUCCACUUACCUGUUGUCAGAGACUCCGACCAUCGAACUAGGGUUCCGGAGGUCUUCGGCAAUCGAACUCGAGUUCCGGGGGUCCGGAACCCUAGUUCGAUGGUCGGAGUCUCUGACAACAGGUAAGUGGAUCAAUUGAAUUGUGGAUUUGUGUUGUGUAUUUGGAUUGUUGAUUUGGGUUGAAAUUUUUGAAUGUUGAUAUGCUAAGGGUUCGAUAGGUACAGAGUAUGUUCCUCCGCCAGAAAUGUUAUUUGAUCCGUCCUGUUAUAGGCAGAUGUGUAGAAUAGGAACGUCGUGCCGGGUUAAGGAAACACUUGAUGUAAUAAAGACAAAGCUGAAGGAUGAUAAGAUUGCUUGGUUUCACCAUCACCCACAAUUUAAGUAUGUUUUUCAUAUGCCUAGAUACAGCUCUCAUAAACUCAUGGGACUGUGGGCUUUAGCUAUUAGAACUGCUUACAUCAAGGAUUAUCAGUGGUGGCGUGUUGUUAAUGGCAUCCCAGUUAGAUAUUUCAUUAGGGAACAUGCCUUGUUAACGGGAUUGUGAUGCGAUGAACUCCCGUCAAAGAAAAGCUUUGCAGAGAAGCAUAGUUUAAAUCUCAGUUUCGCUCAUAAGAACUUUUUAGACAUAGAUAAGGUUGAUCGGUUAGACGUUGAAGAAAAUUUUUUGUCAAUGGCUGAGGAUAAUGAAGAUCUUGUGAAAAUGGCAUUGUUAUACUUCAUAGGAUCUAUCAUUAUAAGAAGGAAGAUUAAAGGAAAAGGUCUUUUAGACCCCUUUGUCCUUAAGUUAGUGAACCAUUUAGAUCUGUGUCAGACCUUUCUGUGGGGUACUCUGUCUUUUAAGUACUGCUUAGAUAUCCUGGCAGACAAGAUGAAAGAGCAUUCGGAGCGUUCCAAGCCUUCCUUGAAUAGUUGGAAUUUACCCUGCUUCAUAACUCUUUUAGAGGUUUCUUUCUGACUUUGAGGUUUCUUUAUGCGUUGUACUUUCUUUCUGAAUCAAAGACUUUGAAUUCACUGACUUAUUUUUGAACUCUGCAGAUAUUUCCUUUUGAAUGUAUUGCAAACCUCAAGAGCAAAUAUUGAUUGCCUGUACGAGGAGCAGUGAAAACAUGUCCACGGAUGUGUAAGAUGAAAUUUCGCAAAACGGGCGAAAAAAGCUUUUCACUGAAUGGCAUAUAGAGAUCAUUAAGAACUGAUAAGGACAUCGAGUCUAUUUUGGUACCUACGAUUGAUAAGCAUCAUCUGGUGGCAGAAUUCCAAGAACCCGAAACAUAUCAUUCCACCAUCAACAACUGGAAACAUGUUUUGAUGGAACAAAAGAAAAUUUGCUAGGAUCAUCUCUACGAAAAAGAUCAAUCCAACCGGGUUGUUGAAGUCAAAGAGAACAAAAGAGAAAAAAAUGGGGAUAAUUUAGAGAAAAACCUGGAGGUGGGAGAAGAUGAGAUAAUUCAAAGAAAAGUGGAGUUAUUGAAGAAGAAAUCCGAUCAACAAGACAAAGCGAUUUUUGACUUAAGAGCACAAUUGGAAGCUUUGAAAAGACAGUCUCGUGAUGAUCCACAGCCUCAAUAUUCCUCCCCUUUUCAGCCUGAUAAUGAGACACAGCCUCAAUAUUCCUCUUUUCAUCAAAACGAAGAAGAGGAAGAUGAGCCACAGCCUCAAAAUUCCUCUUUUCAGCCUGGUAAUGAGCAACAAGAUUCCUCUUUUCAUCAAACGAAAUAGAGGAACAGACGAGAAUGGACGGGAACAGAUGUGAACCGACGGGAAUGAACGAGGAAGAAGAGCGGGAGUUACAGCUACACAGUGAGCUACGGUCACAGACUCAAUAUUCCCCUAUUCAGCCUCAAAGUUCCUCUUUUCAGCCUCGUGAUGAGACACAGCCUCUACGGAAACCGACGGGAACGAACGAGGAAGAAGAGCUACACUGUGAGUUACAGCUUCAUCAGAAGCCAGUGCAGGUCUAUGUGAGGAAUAGGAAUAGGAAACAGCGGAAUGGGAUAGUGGAUAAUGUGUUGGAGUCACAGCUACACAGUGAGUUACAGCUUCAUCAGAAGCAGCCAGUAGCACCCAGCACACGAAAUCUAGGAAUAUCUUCACGAGGACGCAUAUUAAUGAGACCAGACUUUUUCACGGCGGCCGCAUAUAAGUAAAUGAUUCAUGAUUGUCAACGCCCAUUUCUUUCAUUUUGUAUUCCCAUGUUUCCGCUUCUACUUUCCUGACUUGGUUCUGAUGUUUAAGUUCUAAUGUUUUAGAUACUUUGCUUUCCGAAGUGGUUUUAACAAUCUAAUACUGGUUAUAUCCAGUAUGACAACACAGAAACAUGAUUGGUAUGUUACAAGUACAAACAUGAGAAGACUUCAUGAUGACUUCAAAAGACUUUGUAAAGAGCGUUUUCAUACUUGCGAAAACGGUAUCUUUGUUGUAACCCGAAUCAACAAUUAUACAUGAACUAAACUAUAUGAACUAAAUAGAAGUGCUAUAUGAACUAAAUAGAAAAAUUAUGAUCAUGAUUAGAUACUAAUCAAUGUAAACCAAUAGAAAUAACCAAUUGUUGCAUAAUUAAUAAGCAAGUUAGGUUGAACUUGUUUUCACUUAACGGUAGUGAGUUGCACAUGAUGAUAUAAUAAUUGUCAAACUUAUUAAUAUCAUAAGGCUACCAUUCAGCAAAGCAAUAACAUGAGAUGAGUGAACACGUCUUUAGAGUUGUUUGAUAAUUUAAACCACAACAAUAAUUCUACCGUGACACAUAUGUGCAGUUUGAAAGUUAUUAAAGCAUGUUAUGAUUUAAUAAGAGAGCUUAUCUUUGUGGUGAAGAGCAAACAAGCGUCCGAGGUUGCCGAACUUUGUUUGUAUCUUGGUGAAGAAGCUACCAUAAGCAUCACUUCAAGACCUUGGUAUCGUCAUAACAACUUGUGGCCGAGAAUACAAGAAGAAUCAAACUCUUCUCAUCUCCAGUCGCCAAGAAUCUUGACUUGUGCUGUUGAGGUUGCUAAGUCCCGCCAUUGUCUAAGCUCUCGGAGACGGUUGUAGUGAGCUCAGAGGGAAUUGCUCUAAAAACUGGUCCUCUCAUCUGAGUUGAGAUGAUGAUGAGCUCGGUGUAUCAUACAGCAAGUUGAACAGCUCGUUCUUAGAGAAAGAGAAUGGCAAUUACGAGAUCAUAAACAUGCCGAGCUGUUUUAGAUCUUCAUCUAUAAUCUCUUUCGUUUAUAUUCUUCUCGGCACUUGAUUGGAAAGAGGUGAUGCUGAUAAUCAUGUGACUGAACUCGUUGCGGUGUUGGAGACGCACACAUUCACACGUUUGAGGAAUUCAUCAUUCUUGAUAGCAAUACACCGAGAUCAGGCUGAUUGUCGAGUUGCUGGAAUCUGAAGAUAAGGUCGUGUCUCAUGUGCUGUUUCUUCUUGACGAGGAGUUUGUGCCGGUUGUGGCAAGCUUAUGGAGCUUUUCCAAUAUCAAACCAUGGCUGCCGAGAUCACAAUUUGAUUUAUGUGACAAGAAGCUUGAGAACUCUGUAGAGAAUUGUUGAUGGAGAUCAUGCUCUUGCCGAAGUGGCUGGUGAACCCAUGUCGUCACGGCGUGGAUUGGAUUCUUCGCGUCUCUCUCUCUGUCCUCAUGUUCUUCGCGAUUCUGGGAAUAAGCUCGAGCAGUUCCAGAGGCUUCACCGGCGGACGGAGACAAGAUCAAGCUCGUGAGCUUCGCCGAGAUUAAUUCCCAAGCUUUGUUGCAGUCUUUAUGAACCAAAGGAUGAGACGGCAAGCUGAGAACUUGAGGUGAAGCUAGAUCUGGAACGGCUACGAUUGCAGGUUCACCGAGGAUGAGAAAGCUCCGCAUACUACUCAGCUGCUUCGAGAAUGGAAGAGGAAAGAAGAAUCCAUUUUGAUUCUUGAUCUUUUUUUUUUUUUUUUUGUAGAUCUAGGAUUUGAUUUGCCUCGAAGAUAGUUCUCCUUAGCCCCUCCUUCUAGCGCCAAUUGUUUGAUCCAAAAAUGGUAUUUAUAUUUGUGAUGUUUGUUGGAAUCAAUCAAAUAAAAAAUCUAAACAUAAAA